AUUGAACGCUGGCGGCAGGCCUAACACAUGCAAGUCGAACGGUAGCACAGAGAGCUUGCUCUCGGGUGACGAGUGGCGGACGGGUGAGUAAUGUCUGGGAAACUGCCCGAUGGAGGGGGAUAACUACUGGAAACGGUAGCUAAUACCGCAUAACGUCGCAAGACCAAAGUGGGGGACCUUCGGGCCUCACACCAUCGGAUGUGCCCAGAUGGGAUUAGCUAGUAGGUGGGGUAAUGGCUCACCUAGGCGACGAUCCCUAGCUGGUCUGAGAGGAUGACCAGCCACACGGGAAAUGAGACACGGUCCAGACUCCUACGGGAGGCAGCAGGGGGGAAUAUUGCACAAUGGGCGCAAGCCUGAUGCAGCCAUGCCGCGUGUAUGAAGAAGGCCUUCGGGUUGUAAAGUACUUUCAGAGGGGAGGAAGGCGGUGAAGUUAAUAGCUUCACCGAUUGACGUUACCCGCAGAAGAAGCACCGGCUAACUCCGUGCCAGCAGCCGCGGUAA
rnacentral:rRNA from 1 species